rnacentral:tRNA from 1 species
GGGGGAAGAGCUCAGUGGUAGAGUGCGCCUUAGUGUGCACGAGGUCCUGGGUUCAAUCCCCAGUAUCUCCA